rnacentral:rRNA from 1 species
UACGUAGGAGGCGAGCGUUGUCCGGAAUCACUGGGUGUAAAGCGCGUGUAGGCGGCCUGCCAAGUCUGCUGUGAAAGCGCCGGGCUUAACCGGGCGAGGUCGGUGGAAACUGGCGGGCUGGAGGUCGGUAGAGGGGGGUGGAAUUCCCGGUGUAGUGGUGAAAUGCGUAGAGAUCGGGAGGAACACCAGUGGCGAAGGCGGCCCCCUGGGCCGGGCCUGACGCUGAGGCGCGACAGCGUGGGGAGCAAACAGG